CGUUAAACGCGCCGAGUGAAGCAGUUCGUGGAGUUAGUGGAGCUGCGUGGUAGCAUUGUUAUUUGUGUUCCGCCGAGUGCUAUAAUAAUUUUACUAAGUGGGAGCUGGAAUAUUGCCUGCCUGCCACUGCUAAGCAAAAUAGCAGCGUGGAAAUCAAUUUAAAACUAGACCAGCCAAUUUUACAAACAGUGAAAACGCCGUCCACAAUUAAACAAACAACAUAAAAAAAUAAACGAGUAAUUAAAUAAUAAUAUUCGUAAUACGUAAUAAACCGUAAUUAGUAACGCAUCAUAUAUACAAAAAGUACACAUGGCGUUCAUUUCGAAAGAUUUUCGCUCACCUGGCGAGGCUUGGGUCAAGACCGAGGAGGGCUGGGAGCGCAAAAAGGUGCUCGAAUGCGGUGGCAAACGCAAGCGUCAUAGCUCUGAGGGCAGCAUCUCAGACCUGGGCAUCAGUGGCGAGGGAGAGAACGACGAGGUGGGAUGCAUGCCACCGCAUUAUCACAUCACGAUACGCUGCACACGGGAGAUUGCAGGUUUCAAUGGGUUAACCGAGGCAGUGAAGCGUCUUGACUUCCGUCGCUCGGUGCGUGAUCGCAAGCGCUUCCACUACAUCUGUGCAUUCCUGCUGCUCGUCUCCAACAAGGGCAUUGCCAGCCUGCCAGGCAGUGCACAGCGUCAGUUGCUCCAAAUGGUGGAGGAGGUGGCCUCACAUGUCAAUGACAGCCAGCAGCAUCCGAAUGUGCUGCGUGGAUUGGCAUUGAAGCUGGAGCACAUUGUCAACCAGGAGAACCAAAAGUGCUGGGGAAAACCGUUGGGCAGCACCUAUCUGUGGCAGGAGCAUGUGGCCCGGAUUAAGCGCAUUCAACGCGUCGCCAGUCAGAUUGAAAUCCGCGAGCCCGAUCCAAAGGCAACGCCCAAGCUGCACGAGCUGCCCGAGGAGUGUGUGCGCGAGAUCAUUUUGUGCAUUGCCGAUCAUCGGGAUCUGGAGUCGGCUGCUGAGGCCUGGGAGACAAUGGCUAAGCUGGUGUCGGAGCAACGCAUCUGGCGCGAACUGACACGCUUCCACUUCAAUCAGCGACAGAUCAACACCAUCCUGGACCUGGACAAGAUCAAGCAGAUGGGCGAGACCAAAGACUGGAAACAGAUCUAUCAUCAGCUGCGACGCACCUACGGCGUCAACGAUGACUAUCAGUUCGCCGAGGUGCUGGCCCUGUGCCGCUCCUGCUGCUGCCUCUUCUGGCCCUCCGAUGGUCAUCCGUGCAUUGUCGAUCAGAGUCCCGACUACAAGCAACGUGUCGAGGAGGCUGGCGGCCAAUUGGCGCUGGCUCAGCCUGUGCCGCCGGCACAGUUCUUGAAGUACUUCUCAUUGUAAGAUGCCAGCAGACUAAAAAUGGAAACCAAAACUUGACCAAUGCGGCGGGGGGCAGCUUAGUAGGGGGGAGAGAGAGCAAAGAGAUAUAUUCAUAUUUUUAGACAGACCGCGAGGGAGGCGAGGGAAAUAUGAGAAUUUUAUUGUGUAUGUUAAAGUUUUAAAGCAAAGAGACAGAGCGGGAGGAGGGAGUGAUGAGUGGAGUUCUUUGGUUGAGCAGAAAGCAAAGUGAUAAAGUUUUAACGACACUACUUACAUUAUUUUAUUUAACUCUUAAGGGAGCUCAACUGUUACGCUGAGUUCGCAUAGUUUAUUGUUAGGAUUCAGAUCCGCCGAAUGGCUUGAUUAGAUUUUUAAAUCUGUGUGUAGACGCUAUAUGUAUACUCUUGACUUGUUUUCGAGCCUCUUGUUUUAUUGAACCGGAUAUUCAAAUUAUCACGUUGAAUUUCGAAUUGAAGCGAGUAUCGUACAUCACAUUGGUUGUGAUUCCAGAUCAUUUGUCCCCAGAUGUAUUUUUGAGAUAUGCAAAACGAACUGCCACAACAGAGAAUAAUAAACAAGAACAACAACAAAAACAAAGACAAGGACUUAAGUGUAGUUAUUUUAUGAUCAGCUGCUUUUGGUGCUACAUUCGAAGAUAAGUUACCCAGUUACCAAUUACCGAUUACCAGUUACUAAUUUGCCCAGAAUGUUACCAAAAACUAAAAAGAAACUGAAGCUCUAUUUACAAUCUCCACAAAAAAGAAACCUUUAAAGUAAUUAUGAUACAGAAAUCAUGUGAUGUUGCAGGAAGCAAAGCUAGAAACGAAUACACCUACCUAAUACAUAAAUAUAAACAAAAUAAAACAUAACAAAUCUGAAAUACAGAAUAAAUAAAAUCAAUGUAUGUACUAUAUCAGAAUCAAAUACAAAUACGUGUCCCAAUAUUAACAUUAAGUGCAUACGGAUCCAAGCCUAAAUUAAUCAAAUAAAUAUAUAUAGUAUAUAUAUAUACAUAUACAUACGUGUAAUGUUAAGAUUCUGUAAAAGUUAAGCGGGUAAACAACUACGAAGAUAUUACGACUAUGUUUUCCAUAUGUAGACGUUUUCAAUCUAAUGCUUAAAGGGACUUUCUCAAGUCCUGAGAUCAGUUAAACAUCUAUGUAUGUAAAGUCUUACAAAUCUGAUUUAUAUACCCAAGCAAAACAUAAUAAUAUCGUGCGCAGAAUGCACUUAGUUUUGCUUUAAACUAUAUGACCUUAUACGUGAUCGUAUUUGUGCGUACAUUUUUAUGUUUGAAAUAAACUCUUAAACUAUUUAUGAGGCAACUCGAAAA